GUAGGGAAUAUUGGUCAAUGGACGAAAGUCUGAACCAGCCAUUCCGCGUGCAGGAAGAAGAUUCUAUGGAUUGUAAACUGCUUUUAGCAGAGAAGAAACGCCUUCAUUGAUGAGGGUUUGACGGUAUCUGCGGAAUAAGCACCGGCUAACUCCGUGCCAGCAGCCGCGGUAAUACGGGGGGUGCAAGCGUUAUCCGGAAUCACUGGGUUUAAAGGGUGCGUAGGCGGGAAAUUAAGUCAGUGGUGAAAGUCUGUUGCUUAACGAUAGAAUUGCCGUUGAUACUGAUUUUCUUGAAUUGGGUUGAGGUUAGCGGAAUGUGACAUGUAGCGGUGAAAUGCAUAGAUAUGUCAUGGAACACCAAUUGCGAAGGCAGCUAGCUGGGCCUUGAUUGACGCUGAGGCACGAAAGCGUGGGUAGCGAACAGGAUUAGAAACCCGAGUAGUCC
rnacentral:rRNA from 1 species